rnacentral:rRNA from 1 species
UGGGGAAUUUUGGACAAUGGGGGAAACCCUGAUCCAGCCAUCCCGCGUGCGCGAUGAAGGCCUUCGGGUUGUAAAGCACUUCUGGCAGGAAAGAAACGUCAUGGGUUAAUACCCCGUGAAACUGACGGUACCUGCAGAAUAAGCACCGGCCACCUACGUGCCAGCAGCCGCGGUAAUACGUUGGGUGCAAGCGUUAAUCGAAAUUACUGGGCGUAAAGCGUGCGCAGGAGGUUCGGAAAGCAAGAUGUGAAAUCCCAGAGCUCAACUUUGGAACUGCAUUUUUAACUACCGGGCUAGGGUGUGUCAGAGGGAGGUGGAAUUCCGCGUUUAGCAGUGAAAUGCGUAGAUAUGCGGAGGAAAACCGAUGGCGAAGGCAGCCUCCUGAGAUAACACUGACGCUCAUGCACGAAAGCGUGGUGAGCAAACAGG